rnacentral:lncRNA from 1 species
GGUUCCCGGGCUAAUUGGUUUAAGCGACAUUUUGGGUGAUAUUGAGUUAUAUAUAUAUUUGGAAUCAGCGAAUUUUUCUCCGUCGAAUGGUGCCGGUUUCAUUAAAAUCGGAGCACUUUUUUGGCGCUUGAAACAAUUCUAUUUUCGUGGUGAUUCCAAAAUGGCAGUGUAUUAAACGACGUGGAUUUUGCAUUUUUUGUUAAAUUAUGCACUUGAACCAUACCAUCAUAAUAAUAACCGAGACAUAAACCAGUCACCCUAUCUCUCAUAAAUAAGUCAAUGAGAGUUAGAGCGUUUUUCCUGUAUCUACUUUUUUAUUAAGAAGUAACUUGAAUCAUUUUGCCUUCCCACUAAUCACACGGUGUGAUGUCACUUAAACCAAUAGUCCGUGACCCAAAUAAGACAGGUUUGUCGCUUAAACGCUUUUGGCUGCAUCUAUUUUGAACGCAGGGUGCUACUUAAAGCAAAUAGUCGUUUUCGUUCAGAUGUUUUGUUUGGUCGUUAAACCAUUUAGUCCUACUUUUUUUUUAAAUGUGUGUCGUUUAAUACUGAUGAUAAAAUUAAUGAUGAAUAAUGAAACAUUUUGCCAGUAUUCAUAAAAAUACGAGUCGGUCUUUCAAUCACAAAAUUUUAAUAUGGUACAUUUCAACCAUGUCAUAUGAUACCAUAUUCAUUUCAUCGACCGGGUGUCAAAAAUCGUGAUUUUUCAACUGGACUAUCGUGCGCGGGCGCUUCAGUCUCACUCAAGAGUGCGCCGAGGACUGACGUGACGCGCGCAGGCCGCCAGUGUUUACAUAAAACGCUCAUCAAAAUUUAAUCAUAAAUAUGGAGACAGAAAGACAGAAAUUCUACAAACAUAAAAUCAAACGAAUUUUGACCAAGGAUGAUGCAUCUUCAGUGAUUGAUGAAAACGACAAAUCUACCGUAACAUUAUUAGGAAGUACUUCUUAUCAUAAGCAAGUCAAUGAUUUCAGUAUUAUGAAUUCGAGCAACACAGAUCAACAAUCAGAAACCUUGUUAGAUGACAAAGUUGAACCGAACUUUCAUGCGAUUGAUGUUCCUAUUGAGACUGGUCUAUAAUGAUUAUAAAUCUAAAUAAAUACUUUGAUUGAUA